rnacentral:rRNA from 1 species
GAGUUUGAUCAUGGCUCAGGAUGAACGCUGGCGGUGUGGAUAAGGCAUGCAAGUCGAGCGGGUUUAGACCCGCGGCAAACGGGCUAGUAACACGUGGGAAUCUGCCUCAGAGUCGUGAAUAACCAUCCGAAAGGAUGGACAAUGCACGAUACGCUCUCCGGAGUAAAGAUUUAUCGCUUUGAGAGGAGCCCGCGUCCUAUCAGCUGGUUGGUGAGGUAAUGGCUCACCAAGGCGAUGACGGGUAGGGGGUGUGAGAGCAUGGCCCCCAGCAUUGGCACUGAGACACUGGCCAAACACCUACGGGUGGCUGCAGUCGAGAAUAUUCCACAAUGGACGCAAGUCUGAUGGAGCGACACCGCGUGCGAGAUGAAGGCCUUAGGGUCGUAAAUCGCUUUUAUUAGGGAUCAAUGUACUGAGCGUACCUAAUGAAUAAGAGGUUACUAACUCUGUGCCAGCAGCCGCGUAA